GGAGAUAUAGCUCAAUGGUAGAUUAUUCGACUACAGAUCGAGAGGUCCUUGGUUCAAACCCGGGUGUCCUCU